CAAUUUCUCACAUUUUCAAUAUUUAUUGACAAUAAUCAAUAAUUUGGAGUUUUAAAUACCGCUAUGUUACAACAACAUUACCGUCUCAAAAUGGUUCACAAAUUAUUAUCAGUGGUUAUUAGGACUUCUGCAACCAGCCAAUGUUUUUCUCGACUCUCAGGGUAGCAUACAGCCGGAGCUGCCAUUUUGGCACUAACAGCUUACACACAUCAUUUCUUACACUUCCCUACCACUUAGUCUGUUACAGCUGAGUCGACUAGAACACAACACAGUAAAGUAUUUUGUUCAAGAAUACAGCACAGUGUCCAUGUUGAACAACAGAGUAAAGUAUCCCGUUCAUUGAUAUAACACAGUGUUCAUGUUGAACACAACACAGUAAAGUAUCAUGUUCAAGGAUACAUUACAGUGUCCAUGUUGAACACAACAGAGUAAAGUAUCAUGUUCAAGGAUACAACACAGUGUUCAUGUUGAACACAACACAGUAAAGUAUCCCGUUCAUUGAUACAACACAGUGUCCAUGUUAAACACAACAGAGUAAAGUAUCAUGUUCAAGGAUACAACACAGUGUUCAUGUUGAACACAACACAGUAAAGUAUUUUGUUCAAGGAUACAACACAGUGUCCAUGUUGAACACAACACAGUAAAGUAUUUUGUUCAAGGAUACAACACAGUGUCCAUGUUGAACACAACACAGUUAAGUAUUUUGUUCAAGGAUACAACACAGUGUCCAUGUUGAACACAACACAGUUAAGUAUUUUGUUCAAGGAUACAACACAGUGUCCAUGUUGAACACAACACAGUAAAGUAUUUUGUUCAAGGAUAUAACACAAUGUCCAUGUUGAACACAACAGUUAACUUUCCAGUUCAAGGAUAUAACACAGUGUCCAUGUUGAACACAACACAGUUAACUUUCCCGUUCAAGGAUAUAACACAGUGUCCAUGUUGAACACAACAGAGUAAAGUAUCCCGUUCAUUGAUAUAACACAGUGGCCAUGUUGGGACUCAAACUAGUAACUCUGUCACAUAGACUUGCAUCCUACCACUAAACCACUGUGCAUCUAACAGCCUCGCUGUAAUGUUUAUCACAGACUGACAUAAGUGCUCAUGGAAUAGUUUUCAUUCAAUGAUUGGUAGUCUUUUUUUAUAAACUGAAAGUGAAUUCCGAGAAGCCACAAUAUAAUGAAACAACUACAUUGUACUAGGUGUGUGGUUAUUUUUGUUGUUGUCAAUUUCAGAAGAAUAACAGGCGUAUAUAAAACAAUAACAACAAAAACUUUUACAUGUUAUAAUAUACAAAAUGUACAUGUAUGUAAAACAAGAGGACCCGGGGCCUAAAUGUCAUCUGUGUUUUGGAGUGUAAUGAAAGAUGCAUGAUAUUGCUUUUCUACUAAGAUCUAACAUAUCUCACACCCUCUUGAAAGUCGAUGACGUUUUUUUUCAUUUUAACAAACUUUAUAGCCAUUCAUCCGAGUAUGUUACUGGCCCAAUAUCGUUACCCUAGACCUGUUGGUUAUUAAGAAGGUGAACAAAGGGUCAUUAGAACAGGUCACUUCUUCUAAGGUGACCUAAUAGACACGAGUGCAAUCACGUGUCAGUGAUUUUGUUUUUCAGGUCACCUUUGGGGAAGUCUCAAGUGACCUAUUACGACCAUUGCCAUGUAUCUGGUGUUGUGUGUCAUAAACAAUUUACAAUUUUGACUUCAAACAAUUUAUUGUUAAAUAACCAAGAGGCACAGUGAAAUGAUAUUGGGCCAGUAGCAUGCUGAAAUUAAGGGUUACAAUGUUUGUUUAAAUGAAUGACCUUGUCCUACUUUCAAGGUUACAGGGGUAAAAUGUAUUAAAAUCUUUCAACAACUUCUUCUCAAUAGGCAUGAGGCUUCUUAAGAGGGAAGAUUGGCAGGCAUGAAAUAUUUACAGAAGUGUAUCAUACAAUCAUACUAUCUGUAUCAUACAGUAUGAAGAGCGUCAUACAAACUUUAUCAUACAAUACAAAAAGACAUUUAUCGUAAAAACAAUACUGCUUAGAAGUAUAAUAAUUAUAAUAAGUAAAUGAAUAUUAUUAUAUUACUAACCUCAUAAAUGUGUUUAAACUCAAUAUUUUAUACUCUGUUGACUUUUAACGAGCUGGAGCUAGGAUGAACUGGCACAUCUUAUAUACACAGAAAUUAUUAUACUGAAACUAAACUGUACCUCGAUCAUAGCAACGUUUCAGGCACAAAAUGCUAAAAUACAUACUAUAAUUGUAUAUAUACUUCAUCGCAUACAUGUACUUGGUAUAUAAUAGUUCCCGUUUUUUCAACAUAAAAAUAGGAUUAAAUUAUUCAAAUCAAUAUUUUGUAACUCGGCUAAAAAAAAGUUCUUUGUUUUUCUUUCUGCUCCUUCAUCAUGCAAAACUAAAAGAAAAAUACAUUUAAAUUGAACAUGCCCCCUACCGACCCCCACCAGCUAUUACACUGUAAUGAUUUAUAAAGAUGAUGUCCUUUUAGUGUUAAUUUGGAAAAAUGGGAAGUAUACAGUUAGCUUGUAAUGUUAGUAUUAUGAGAGGAAUAAUACAAAAUGACAAUGGGAUUUUCUAAAAAUAGUAAUGAUAACCUUGACCUUACAACUCUGGAACUAGAAGUGGUUCAAGAUAUUAUGGUCCUUUAAAAGUGUGUGAAAUUUUUAUCAAAAUCCUUCAAUGAAUGAAACUGCUAGAUGACUGAAUGGUGUUUAUUAUAUUGAUAUUGACCCUGGGCGUCUUGGUUAAUGAGAAAAAGUCAAAAAUGUAAACUGUUUAGGAAGCAUGCCGGAUGCCUGACGAUGCCGGACAAAAGGCGACCACAAUAGGUCACUUGACUUCAGGUGACCUAAAAACCCUCAAAUGCAUUGUCACAGACCAGGAAGAUAAAAUUUCCAAAACAGAAAUGAAAUUCACCACACUAGUUAAGAAUAUGUAGGAGUUCGUAGGGAAACACUUCAUACACACGAUGAUGAUAAUAUUCAGGGUAUCGGAGUAUGAAUAUGAAUAGACUUCAGUAUAUUGUAACCAGUAUUGGGACGUUUUUGGUUGUGAUGACUUCAUUUUGUCACCAUCAUAUCAUACCAACAGAGUCUAGUCACUGAAACUGAACUCUCUAAUACUGGCUGUGAGGACAAAGUCUAGUCACAUAACUUACAUUUCAUUUAUUGGUUCACUAAGAAAAAUAGGACACACACGGACAGAGAGAUCAUUAUAGGACACACAUGGACAGAGAGAUCAUUAUAGGACACACACGGACAGAGAGAUCGUUUUAGGACACACACACGGACAAAUACAGAGGUUCCAUGAAUAACCCUAAAUCUGAAAAUCUUGACCUUUGAAGGCCAAACAAGAAUUUGGUAUGUGACACCUUCUAAUAGCAAUAUAAA